CGCACGUCAACGCCGCCACGGCAGGAUCGGACCACGCGUGAUUCGCGCAAACCCUGACACCCCUCUCCAAUCCGCGGACACCGGUAGAAUCCCGUCGAUCUCCUCGUCCGAUUUCCCCAACCUCCGCUCCAGGUCUCCCUAGAAAUCGACUGCACGAAGCUCAGGAAGCUCCGCCGUCUCGUUCAACUCCAGUGACUCUGACGGACGACUUCGGCCAGUCCAGACGCCAAAGUUGACUUCGUGGGCACACCUGUACUCGUUGUGCUCCGCCUCAUCCACGGGCAUCUUCCCCCAACUCCUUUCACCAAUGGGUGCGGUGCCCCGUUCGAUCAGAGCCGAGCGCCGCCAUCUUGCCCGACUUCGGCGACAACUCCGAUUACUCGGAGCGUGACGAGUAGAAAUUAUCAGGAAUUGUGAGUGCGACGACCUUCAUCAAACUUACAG